AGCCAGCCUGAGCUAGCCCAGCGCGGCAAUGGAGCGCCCACAGCCCACAAGCAUGUCCCAGGACUUGUCUGAGUCCUUGAAGGAAGCCACCAAGGAGGUGCAUACCCAGGCAGAGAAUGCUGAGUUCAUGAGGAAAUUUCAGAAGGACCAGGUGACCCCGAAAGGCUUUAAGCUGGUGAUGGCCUCCUUGUAUCAUGUCUACGUGGCCCUGGAGAAGGAGACUGAGCAGAACAAGCAGAACCCAGUCUACGCCCCCCUCUACUUCCCUGAGGAGCUGCACCGCAAGGCUGCCCUGGAGCAGGACAUGGCUUUCUGGUACUGCCCGGCUGGCAGAAGACCAUCCCCUACAGUUCAGCCACACAGCAUUACACGAGGCGCCUCCAUGAGGUGGGGCACAAACAUCCUGAGCUGCUGGUGGCCCAUGUGUACACCCACUACCUGGGGAGACCUCUCCGGGGCCAGGUCCUGAAGAAGAUUGCACAGAAGGCCCUGAACCUGCCCAGCUCCAGUGAGGCCCUGGCCUUCUUCACCUUCCCCAACAUCAAAAGCCCCACCAAGUUCAAGCAGCUCUACUGUGCACACAUGAACACUCUGGAAAUGACACCGGAGGUCAAGCACAAGGUGAUAGAGAAGGCUAAGACCGUGUUUCUUCUCAACACUGAGCUGUUUGAGGAGCUGAAAAGGCUGCUGACAAAGGAGCACCAGGAUCAGAGCCAUUCACAGAAGGAGGGCCUUCACCAGCGGGGCCGACAGCAGGGUGCAAGACCCCACCCUGCAGAGACACCCAGAGGGAAACUCCAGCUCAGUGCUAACCUGUACCAAGCACCGCUCCUCCGAUGGGUCCUCACCCUCAGCUUUCUGGUGGCAACAGUGGCUGUGGGGAUUUAUGCUAUGUAA